rnacentral:rRNA from 1 species
UGCCAGACUCCUACGGGAGGCAGCAGUGGGGAAUAUUGCGCAAUGGGCGAAAGCCUGACGCAGCGACGCCGCGUGAGGGAUGAAGGUCUUCGGAUCGUAAACCUCUGUCAGCAGGGAAGAACGGUCACUGUGCUAAUCAGCAGUGAAUUGACGGUACCUGCAAAGGAAGCCCCGGCUAACUACGUGCCAGCAGCCGCGGUAAUACGUAGGGGGCAAGCGUUAUCCGGAUUUACUGGGUGUAAAGGGAGCGUAGGCGGCAGCGCAAGUCUGGAGUGAAAUGCCGGGGCCCAACCCCGGAACUGCUUUGGAAACUGUGCAGCUCGAGUGCAGGAGAGGGAAGCGGAAUUCCUAGGGGAGCGGUGAAAUGCG